ACGGGUGGCUGCAGUCGAGAAUCUUCGGCAAUGGGCGAAAGCCUGACCGAGCGACGCCGCGUGCGGGACGAAGGCCUUCGGGUUGUAAACCGCUGUCGGGAGGGAUGAAGUGCACGGGGGCUAUCCCCUGUGUUUGACAGAGCUCCGGAGGAAGCACGGGCUAAGUUCGUGCCAGCAGCCGCGGUAAUACGAACUGUGCGAACGUUAUUCGGAAUCACUGGGCUUAAAGGGUGCGUAGGCGGCGCUGUAAGUCAGGUGUGAAAUCCCCCGGCUCAACCGGGGAAUGGCGCUUGAAACUGCAGUGCUUGAGUGAGGUAGGGGUGCAUGGAACUUCCGGUGGAGCGGUGAAAUGUGUAGAUAUCGGAAGGAACGCCGGCGGCGAAAGCGGUGCACUGGGCCUUGUCUGACGCUGAGGCACGAAAGCUAGGGUAGCGAACGGGAUUAGAUACCCCGGUAGUCCUAGCCGUAAACACUGAGCACUGGAGCGGAGGGGUUUCGGCCUUUCCGCUCGCAGCGAUAAGCGUUAAGUGCUCCGCCUGGGGAGU
rnacentral:rRNA from 1 species